UGAGGAUAUCUGAAUUUAUGAGCGUCAUUGAUUAAUUACAACAGCAACGAUUAAUAACUUUGUAGUUAUAAGGUUUGUCGAAUUUGUGUAAAUAUGUGGCUGUGUUAUUUGUGUUGGUGAUUGUGUGCUCGAAGAUAUAUGUGCCAAAAUCUCUAUGGAUGUGUUGUCCAUGUUCUGGUGGUAGCGUUGUUUGGACUUGUAAAUUUAUGUGGAAGUACCGUCUGUGGAUACUGGGGGCUGUGGUUUUGAGUAGGAAUUGGCUGCUAGGGAUGUUUUGGAAAGUGAAGCGUGUAUUGUUGUUUAUCCGCAUUUGACAAGAGUAUAACAGGGGUUGACUAGCAGGGGAGGUUCUGGAUGCAUCUGUGAGUACUGUUCUGCAUUCACUAUGCUCUGCUUUGUUACCACCUGCAACUCACGUGUUCUUUGUAUUUUCAAUAAAGUCUUUACGUAACAAAAAAAAAGAAGAAGCUUUGAAGUUAAAUAUGAUAAAUAAUUUGUAGCAACAAAUGCAUUGGUACAGUGGCAAUUUUUUUUCCGAAAAGCUGGUUUGUUGUAUUUAUAUGUUUUAUGAGAUUUGUUGAUAAUCUAUAGUAGCACCAUAUCCAUGUCCAUGCCUUUAUAACUAUGAUAAAUAUAGUUAGGGGUUAAACUAUUUCAUAGGCUUCUCCAAGUUUAAAAACUAAUAACUUUGAAACUUAGAAGAUGAAUGAUUUUUUUUAAAGGCUAGAAGAUGAAUGAUUUUAAUAAAUUUCAGGUUGAAAUAAAUUUAGCUUUUAUUGGUACAAAAAGCAAAUAUCUCUAUUGAUUUCUUUAUUACUUGACUAUAACUUAAUGUUAAAAAAAAUGUUUUUGUGUAACUUAAAACAUUGGAUGUGUUCCAUAAAAAAAUUACAAAUUUUAACGUCACAGUAUUUUUUAAAUUUUAAAACUUAAUUUUGGACUCGAGCUUAAUUUACUCAAAAUUGUAAUUAUGUUUAUUGAGUUUUUUUGUGUUGAUCAAUUCAAGCUUUGUACUUCAAAUUUAUUAUAAUUUUCUUUGAAUUCAUGAGAGGAUAACUCGAAUUGUUCAAUUGACACUUUGGUUAUAAAAAAAGUAAAGUGAAACAAAAAAAAAAUUUUUAUCAAAUAAUUAGCAAAUAAUCAAAUGGGGUGAUAUAAAUUUGGAAUUAGUACAAGUUCUGUCCAAUAUCUUUCCAUCCUACAAAAAGAUGAAGGGUAACUUUACCCUGUUAUCGAUAAGAUAUUUUAUCAGUAAUUUUUGUCGGUGAUAAUCGUAGCCAAAUUCUAUAAAUUUAAAAUCAUUAUGGGAUCAUGAUGAGGUCUCAUUUCAAUAAUAAAUAAAAUGUUUUGAUACCUUUAAAUCUAAUGGGUUUAAUCUAAUUUUAUAUUUGUUUUAUUUGAUUUCAACUAAAAGUUUAACAAAGUGACAUGGAAUUUUCUAUAGAUAAGUUUUGGUUGAUUCUUUAUAUUUUAUAAAUCUAUUUAUUGAACUCUAUAUGAAUAAACAAGUUGCAAUUUUCAAUUUAAUUCUGGUUUAAUUAUUUUCAUAUAAGAAUUUAUCAACAUCAUUUGCAUUCUAUCUACCUAAGUUUUAGAUAUCAACAUAUGCAAUUUAAUAAAAAAAACAUAAAAGAAGGUUCAUUGAAAUUAUUUCAUUCCUUGUUUGAAAACGACAUUUUACAUUUUCUUUUGGUACAUCACUAUAUUUAGAAAAUUAGAAUACGAAAGGCCAAUAAUAUCAACAUUUGAGAAGUAAAGGAAACUAGAAUUAAUGUUCAAACAUGUAAUUAACUGAUUUGGACACCAUAGAAUUUGUAUCAUUAAGAAUUAUAUGACUUGCCACUAUCCGUAUAUAUAGAUUAAAUGAGGAGGAUCUUAAUUCCUUUUUUUUAUUGAAUUUGGGAGUAUCUUAGUUCCUUAAAAUAUAAGAAUUAAGAAAUACUUCUUUUACUUUAUAAGCAAUUAAUUUUAAAUUAAAUAUUUUUUUUAUUAAUAAAAUUCUGUGUGGUAUAAAAGUAAUGUCUACGUCCAUUUAAUUGUUAUCUCAUUCGUCAUAAAUGUGUUAUGCUUUUUGUAUGAAAUUCAUAUUGUAUGAUAAUUAUUAUCCUUACAAGUGAAAUACAUGUCACACAGUAAGUUUUUAAUUUAUAUACGUGAUGAAAAAUGUUAAUGGUGAUAAAUAUAUCACAUAUCUUAGUAAGGUGUUCAUCUUAGAAUGACUGAAGUUCUAAGACAAUGUGUGGCUGCGUUAUAUAUUGUCCAUCUUGAAGGUACAUAUGGAACAAGUCUAUCUUCUUGGUGCCUAUUGUCAUCUUCCUUUUUGAUAACAUUAUGCUAUAGUGCUGGAUAAGGAGAGUUGGAUCCUUCGAGUGUCAUGUUGUAGUUUGGGAAGAAAGUCAUGUAGACUGUUCCCCGAAUAGAGGGAGGAAUCUGAAUGCUUGAGCAACUUUUCAUAGUUUUUAACUUCAGAAUUCCAUGCAUGGAGAUUAAGUGAAUUGACAAAGCUAAACAGUACAAUCAGUACUUAUUAUAGAAAGAAUUGAUUUAAAGCAUGUGUAUCUCCUGAUAAAAUAGUAACAUUUCUGUUUGAACAUAAGGUUAAAGAAAAUUGACUUGAAAUUAAACUUUUAAACUUAGCACUAUUAAUGCUACUACAUUAAAAAAAAAAUGGCAUAUCGAUUUUCAUUGAUUGCCUUCUCCAGGAUGCCAUUGACAGUCUGUAGCCUUGAAAGGAGAGGACUGCUAAUGGUAUAAACGAAAGACCUGGUUUGAGGGCUUCAUAUAGGUACUAUUGUAAAGCACCCCCUCAUAACUUGAGGUUCAAUAGCCUCUCACCUCUACACAGAGUUUCAAAGACAUACAAAAAUUUACAGUUAGAAGAGACUUAGCUCAGACACCCUAAAGAGAAGUACUCUGCUCAGCAGCCGUGCGAGAUCAAAGGCAAAGAAAACAGGAAUCUAUACGCAAUGGCACUUGAAUUUUAUAGGAUAGGCAGGAAGCUCAGAUUGUCCCUUACAACAUCUCAACUUCCGAGCAACCAUAUCACCUUACCCAAAUGUAAUUAUCAGAUUGAGAUAAAAGAAUAUUUCAUGAAAUUUCAUAUUUUAAUCUAAUUAGAAAAUAAUAUUAUAUAAUUAUCUUACCACGAUUGGCUGAUUUGUGAAAUCUUUCAAAAUCAUUAUUUCUUAGUCAACCAACUUUGAAUGUAUCUUUUGGAUAAAGAUAAAAAAACGUUUCAAGAAUUUUUUUUUUCUUUCAAUAAAACGUAAAUCUCUAUGGUUAUCCGUUUGAACAGAAUAUAGAAAGGCGAAAAGUCUAUAACAAAGAAAAUCUCAUUAGAAACUUUUUUUUUUUUGAAAAACAAUUUUAUUAACCACACAAUCAGAAUGCGAAAGCAAGUCUGUGAUCUGGACGGCUCAAGGCUCCUACUAGCAUAAAAAGGCCGGCUUGUAUGAAGGAGAUUUGUACAAUUGCCACAAGCAGCCACUCAAAAAAGACAUUGGCGGCUGCUCACUUCAGAAGUACACGAAAAACUAAUAUCAACAUACCACCCUUUAACAAAUAAUCCAACCCCAAAUUAUCUAGCAAUUCCAGCUUCCAUCCACAACAACACCGCCACCGAGGUCUCACGGUUCAUCAACUACGUCCUGAAUAUCCCAUCCUCUGUCCGCAGCCUCCAACUCCAUAAUCUUCCGUAACACAUCCUCCUUCUCUUCCCUAAAAGUCAAUCCCACCUUCUUACUCCAUUCCCAAAUCUCUUCCGCUUCUCUCCGUAUUAUCGAAUUCCUCUUCCUAACAUCUGGGUCAGAAGCCGACUCCUCCCCUUGACUUCCUUUCUCAUCGUUCCUUGUAUCCAGUUCAGCCUCAGUCUUCAAAUUUCUUCUCCUUUUAUUUUUUGAGUUUGCUUUCGAUGUCGAUGCUUUGUUGUUCCCCUGACUCUUACUUCUCCACCUUCUAACCCUUUCCUCACUCUUACUGCUCAUUCCUUUUUAACUUUCUGGUGAGUAUUUCUUCAAUUGGCUUUUCCUCCUUGCACUUGUUCUCGGUUUGGGCGUUACUCACCCCUCUGAUCCUUCUCUCCCACUACUUUCCUUCAUGAUUUCUUUCUCCGAGUUUCCGUUGAUUGUCAUACACGCGUAGUACUUACAGAAGCGAGCUAGGAUAGAUCAAUGCAUGGCAUUAGCUUGUAUGAAUUAACUAAGAACAGGCCUUAGUUACUUAUAUAUGCUACAGAGCAAGAUAAAAUAAGGUACAAGGAUCAGAAAAAUGGCGAGGGAGUUGGUAAAUCUUGGUGGCAGUGGCGCGGGAGGGGAAGCAGGGGUCUCUGGAGGCCUUUUCUUGCUUUGCAUGAUUGUUUUCUCCCUCUCAAUUAUCUCAAUGGUCAUUUUCGCUUGUGGUGAUAACAACUCUGGAAAGCCUCGCCAUAAUCAUGGUGCGGGUGGUGGAGGUUGUGGGUGUGGGGGUGGAGGUUGUGGAGGCUGUGGGGGCUGAGGUCGAGGUUGUGGAGGCGGGGGUGGAGGUUGUGGGGGUGGCAGCGAUGGUGGUUGCUGAGGAUAUCUGAAUUUAUGUGCGUCAUUGAUUAAUUUCAACAGCAACGAUUAAUAACUUUGUAAUUAAAAGGUUUGUCGAAUUUGUGUGAAUAUAUGGCUGUGUUAUUUGUGUUGGUGAUUGUGUUGCUCGAAGAUAUAUGUGCCAAAAUCUCUAUGGAUGUGUUGCCCAUGUUCUGGUGGUAGCGUUGUUUGGACUUGUAAAUUUAUGUGGAAGUAAUGUCUGUGUAUACUGGGGGCCGUGGUUUGAGUAGGAACUGGCUGCUAGGGAUGUUUGGGAAAGAGAAGCCUGUAUUGUUGUUUAUCCGCAUUUGACAAGAGUAUAACAGGAGUUGACUAGCAGGGGAGGCUCUGGAUGCAUCUGUGAGUACUGUUCUGCAUUCACCAGGCUCUACUUUGUUACCACCUGCAACUCAAGUGUUUUUUGUAUUAUCAAUAAAGUCUUUACGUAACAAAAAAAAAAAAAAGCUUUGAAGUUAAAUAUGAUAAAUAAUUUGUAGCCCCAAAUGCAUUGGUACAGUGGCCAUUUUUUUUUUCUGAAAAGCUGGUUUGUUGUAUUUAUAUGUUAUAUGAGAUUUGUUGAUAAUAUAUAGUAGCACCGCAUCCAUGUCCAUGCCUUUGUAACUACGAUUAAAUAUAGUCUGGGG
rnacentral:lncRNA from 1 species